GCUUACACAUGCAAGUCGAACGGGAUCCCUGGCAGCUUGCUGUCGGGGUGAGAGUGGCGAACGGGUGAGUAAUGCGUGACCAACCUGCCCUGUGCACCGGAAUAGCUCCUGGAAACGGGUGGUAAUACCGGAUGCUCCGCUCCAUCGCAUGGUGGGGUGGGAAAUGCUUUUGCGGCAUGGGAUGGGGUCGCGUCCUAUCAGCUUGUUGGCGGGGUGAUGGCCCACCAAGGCGUUGACGGGUAGCCGGCCUGAGAGGGUGACCGGCCACAUUGGGACUGAGAUACGGCCCAGACUCCUACGGGAGGCAGCAGUGGGGAAUAUUGCACAAUGGGCGCAAGCCUGAUGCAGCGACGCCGCGUGCGGGAUGGAGGCCUUCGGGUUGUAAACCGCUUUUGUUCAAGGGCAAGGCACGGUUUCGGCCGUGUUGAGUGGAUUGUUCGAAUAAGCACCGGCUAU
rnacentral:rRNA from 1 species